rnacentral:rRNA from 1 species
AUUGAACGCUGGCGGCAGGCCUAACACAUGCAAGUCAAGCGGAUGAGUGGAGCUUGCUCCAUGAUUCAGCGGCGGACGGGUGAGUAAUGCCUAGGAAUCUGCCUGGUAGUGGGGGACAACGUUUCGAAAGGAACGCUAAUACCGCAUACGUCCUACGGGAGAAAGUGGGGGAUCUUCGGACCUCACGCUAUCAGAUGAGCCUAGGUCGGAUUAGCUAGUUGGUGAGGUAAAGGCUCACCAAGGCGACGAUCCGUAACUGGUCUGAGAGGAUGAUCAGUCAAACUGGAACUGAGACACGGGCCAGACUCCUACGGGAGGCAGCAGUGGGGAAUAUUGGACAAUGGGCGAAAGCCUGAUUCAGCCACGCCGCGUGUGCGAAGAAGGUCUUCGGAUUGUAAAGCACUUUAAGUUGGGAGGAAGGGCAGUAAGUUAAUACCUUGCUGUUUUGACGUUACCAACAGAAUAAGCACCGGCUAACUUCGUGCCAGCCGCCGCAGUAACAC